rnacentral:rRNA from 1 species
AUUGAACGCUGGCGGCAGGCCUAACACAUGCAAGUCGAGCGCGCGGCGGACGGGUGAGUAAUGUAUGGGGAUCCGCCCGAUAGAGGGGGAUAACUACUGGAAACGGUGUCUUAUACCGCAUACUAACAGAUGCACCCAUAUGGGAUUAGCUUGUAGGUGGGGUAAAGGCUCACCUAGGCCACGAUCUAUCGCUGGUCUGAGAGGAUGAACAGCCACACUGGGACUGAGACACGGCCCAGACUCCUACGGGAGGCAGCAGUGGGGAAUAUUGCACAAUGGGCGCAAGCCUGAUGCAGCCAUGCCGCGUGUAUGAAGAAGGCCUUAGGGUUGUAAAGUACUUUCAGCGGGGAGGCGUUACCCGCAGAAGAAGCACCGGCUAACUCCGUGCCAGCAGCCGCGGUAAUAC